rnacentral:RNase_P_RNA from 1 species
CUUCACAGCUAAACGAUCGCGCCCUUUGGCGAGGAAAGUCCGAGCACUAUAGGGCAGGGUGCCAGAUAACGUCUGGUGGAGGCGACUCUAAGGACAGUGCAACAGAAAUAAACCGCCAAAUGCUUGGUAAGGGUGGAAAGGCGAGGUAAGAGCUCACCGCCUCUUUGGUAACAAAGAGGGCAUAUGUAAACCCCACUCAGUGCAAGACCGUAAAGAACCGAAUUGAGCAAUCAAUUCACAGCGGCCCGCUGCUUUGGUUCUUGGUUGGUCGCUUGAGUCUAUCGGCGACGAUAGACCUAGAUAGAUGAUCGUUCACGACAGAACUCGGCUUA